UAUUCAACUUGAUUUUAUAUUUGUCUUACAGAUUGUAGCGACCGAUGAGCCCAUUAUAACUAUUGAGCCAGAAGUGGCUCCCCAUGACUAUGCUGAAAGUAGUCCACUUAGGGCCACCAGAGUCCGGCGUCUCCAGCGAUCUGGACAGCCCAGACAACAACAACCACCUGUUGCAUUUUUAAACAUGCAACAGGAACAUAAUAAUCUGUUGCAGCACCAAAAUGUCCUAUUAAAUAGACUUAAUGACACAGUCGAGGGAAAUUCCUAUACGGGCAACGUAUUUAAGAUAAGGGCAGAAAGAAGACGCAAUACUUUUGGCAGAAAAUGGUGGUGAAGAAAUAAUUAUUUUAUAGAUUAAGAUAUUAUUACAUAUGUAAGACUGAUUAUUGUGACACUCGAUAGGUAAGAAUACCUAAUAAAGGAUAUUUUUGUUGAUUUUAUAGCGGUGGUAGUUAAUAUACAUAUAAGUUUAAGAUACAAUAAGACUGAU